CUUUUCUUUCUUUCUUUUUUCUUUUUUUUAAUCUCCAGUAGCGAUCUGCGAGGCUGAGGUUUCCGCAGAAAGUUUGGGGGCUGUUACGGUGUGUAUUUCUGCGGAGGGGGAGGGGAGCGGGCUCCUUCUGUGUGUGCUGCUCCUCUGGGUGCCUAUUGGAGAAUAAUAGUGUAAGUGACAACCUAGAAGUAGACUUUCUGCUCUUCACACUGGAUAGAAAAGCUGCCUUUUUUUUUUUUUUUGCUUUGAUUUUUUUUUUUCCCCUAAUACCCCCCUCUCUCACUUGCAUUGGUUUUAUUUUUGAAAGGACAGCCAGACUUAAGUCACCUCCCACCUCCAUUUAAACCUGCUACUUUAUUUUUAUUUUUAUUAUUAUUCUGAAUUUUGAGCACUUGUCUGAUCAAUUGCUCUUCACCUCCUUCCUCCGCCGCUCUCUCAAAAGAUAUUUAAUAUAGAUUUUUAUUUUUUUUUUGUCCAUUGCCAUUUUUUUCUCAUGGCUACUCUGUUUCUCGCUACCUAUUUUUGCCCCUCCCCGCCUAAAGGAAAAUAGCAACAAGAAAACAAGAGAAAAAAACAACAACAAAAAAGAAUAUUAGGGGAAGUAGCCCUCAGGUCUGCUGCCCCCCGCGCCCCCCAGAAAGGGGGGACCUAGGAAAACAUCACUCUCGAACUUCUUCCUCCUCAAGAGCUCGGGCUGCAAAGGAAACCUCCUUUGUUUUUGUUAUUUAUAUGCUGUCAAGUUUUGAAGUGGUCACAGCGAAAGCUUGGCCUGGAUCGCGAGAGCCAUAUGGAACGGAUAAGUGCGGAGCCUCUCUCAAAUGUUGCUUGUAAACGUUCGGAUUAAUAUAUUACCUCCUUCUCCGCUCUAUCGGGAAAAGCAGUGCAGUGUUCACAUGAGAAAAAACAACUUAUGGAAUUGUCAUUGCCAUAUAUACCAAUGACAUAGAAUAGUGAUCUUUAGAGGCGGGACUGAGUAUGGAUCAUUUGAACGAGGCAACUCAGGGGAAAGAACAUUCAGAAAUGUCUAACAAUGUAAGCGAUCCGAAGGGUCCACCAGCCAAAAUUGCGCGCUUGGAGCAGAAUGGGAGCCCAUUAGGAAGAGGAAGACUUGGAAGUACAGGAACUAAAAUGCAAGGAGUGCCUUUAAAACACUCUGGACACCUGAUGAAAACUAAUAUUAGAAAAGGUAACACUUUUUUAAUUCUGCAUUUGAGAAAUAUGAAUUAUAAUAUUUGUGGGGGGAAGCAUACUUUUGUAGAUUCCACUUCAUUUAUAUUUCAGGAUUAAAUCUCCAUUCUAAAAUACUAUAUAUUCCCAACUCUGAUAUAAAUCACAUUUGGGAAAUGUAAGCUUCAUGCUUGGGUGGAGCAUCUUGCUUUACAGGGUGGAGUCUGAUUUUUGCUAAGGUAAAGGCUAGCUGUCCUGAUUAAAGCAAAUUCCUACAUUGAAAUAGAAAUAAUAUAAUGCGUUAAUUCUUAGAGUACGUGUUGGGCUCAGAAAUGCAGAAAUCUGUAAGAAUAAAGACUGAACCCCCAAAACAAAUUCUCGCCUUUCCUCUGAAUGAUGGUACAAUCUUGGGAGGACAGCAGUAUUUCCAUAACAGUUGGAAGUUGUUUUGUUUUGUUUUGUUUUGUUUUUUAAAGCGAGUGUGGAAAUCUUGAGAUAUCACAUUGGAAAAGUCAUUUAUGAUGUCAAUCUUCACAGUUUAUUUUCUUAAGUACAAUUCAUUAUUGAACAAUGAACAACUUGGGUGUCAUAUUUUUCAGUGGCUGGUUUGCUGUAAUUAGACAUUUAUACAAGGAAAGACAUGUUUAGAAAUACUGGUGUUUGUAUAUGGAUGGCUUUUGUUUGCCUUACAAAUACUUUCAAUGGACAAAAAUCUAUAAAUUUUGCAUACUGAAAUAUAUAACCCCUUUUUUUGACCACUUUCUGCAGGCUUGCUAAUUUAAAUAAAAACAUGCUGUAUGUAAUUUUGCAUUUGUAUUAAAGCAGCCUUUACUUUUGUAUAAUUGGUAUAUGUUUAUAAUCCAGAUUUUUCUUGCAUUUGCUAAGCUAAGUGCAAAAUGCAACCAAGACUAUUAAACGCACAAAGUUAGAAGGCAGAGGAAUUUCAUUGUGUCUGAUGCAUAACAUUUAUCGUACAAUCAUUUAUUUUUUCCUCGGUUUGGCGAAAACAAAGAAUAUAUUGAUCCUGAGAUGAACAGACACAGCAGUCCGUAUUGUUAGAUCUUUAUCUAUUAAAAAUGGCAAAACAGCACUUCAGCAAAUUCUUUGGCCUCUGCUCAUGAUUACCCUAUUUAUUGAUUGUUGCCAAGAAUGUACGCAUCUUAAGAAAGCCAGGGUAAGAGCAUUAAAAAUAUAAUUUAUUACGGCUUUUCAAGCAGAGUGCAUUAAUAUUGUACAGUGAAGCAGUGGGGCUAUAUAAAAAGGACUUUCUGACGCCUGCAAACAUAUAAGUUCCAUAAAUUCCUAAAUAGGAGAUUUCAGCUGUCUCUGGUAUUAUGUGAUAUUUGCACAGCAAACUUUAAUGCCAGGACAGUUUUAGACAAGGAUUCUACAGACUUCACUGCUCCUUAUGGUAGACGUGCUGUUUACACAGACUCAUAAACCUUCAGCAAAAGCUCUAACACUGCUUUCAGGUUUAAAUCAUGCUGUAUUUUUAGCAGCGAGCACUGACCAGUGCUCUCCCCUUUAAUACUAGAAGGUUAUGAAGUUGCUGCAAUUGGAGGUCUUGCCAAGUACUAGCAGGAGAGAUCAGCCAGCUAAGGUUGUGCUCUCCUGUACAACAUUUUUCACAUUAACAGAAGGACACGAGUGACAGUCUGCUAAAAGAUUUAGUAGCUUGAUUUGUAGUCAGAUGAGACCUGUGUCGCGCUACCAGGAUCCACCUCUGAUAAGCUACGCUGGACAUAGGAAUUUGGCCAGAGCUUCUCCUGUGCUGUUAAAGUACAUUUUUUCAGAAAUGCUCUAAGUCCUGGGAGUGCAUACAUGUCAAAAAGUGUGCUGCACACAAUGCAGUACCUGUGCAUUGCUAGCUUUAUCUAGUCAUAACCUGAUUUGUAGCAACUGAUAAGGAAAAGGACAAAUCUGUCUCGGCUGUUUUUGAGUGUGUAUGCCCUGUUUGUUAAAAUGAAGGUUUGUUUACUUUUUAUCUUCAGGUAUUAGCGGUGAAACUACUUAAGAAUUUUGAGUCCUUUCUUUCCGUCAGAUGUUAGUAGGUGAAACAUCAAUUGUGAGAGUGUGAAGGGGGGAGGGAGGGGAAAGAACCAAAACCUUUUUGCAGAUGAAGUACGCGUGUAUGUUUUGGAAAGCUCUCUACAGCUUAAUUAAAAGCAAUGAAGAAAUCACCAGUUUGCAUGUACUGCUUUUGCUUUGGUCUUUUUCUCCUU